AUACAUGCAAGUCGAGCGGACAGAUGGGAGCUUGCUCCCUGAUGUUAGCGGCGGACGGGUGAGUAACACGUGGGUAACCUGCCUGUAAGACUGGGAUAACUCCGGGAAACCGGGGCUAAUACCGGAUGGUUGUUUGAACCGCAUGGUUCAAACAUAAAAGGUGGCUUCGGCUACCACUUACAGAUGGACCCGCGGCGCAUUAGCUAGUUGGUGAGGUAACGGCUCACCAAGGCAACGAUGCGUAGCCGAGAGAGGGUGAUCGGCCACACUGGGACUGAGACACGGCCCAGACUCCUACGGGAGGCAGCAGUAGGGAAUCUUCCGCAAUGGACGAAAGUCUGACGGAGCAACGCCGCGUGAGUGAUGAAGGUUUUCGGAUCGUAAAGCUCUGUUGUUAGGGAAGAACAAGUACCGUUCGAAUAGGGCGGUACCUUGACGGUACCUCAGAAAGCCACGGCUAACUACGUGCCAGCAGCCGCGGUAAUACGUAGGUGGCAAGGUGAUGUGCUGCUUUUUCUGCGUUAAGGGCUCGCAGGCGGUUUCUUAAGUCUGAUGUGAAAGCCCCCGGCUCAACCGGGGAGGGUCAUUGGAAACUGGGGAACUUGAGUGCAGAAGAGGAGAGUGGAAUUCCACGUGUAGCGGUGAAAUGCGUAGAGAUGUGGAGGAACACCAGUGGCGAAGGCGACUCUCUGGUCUGUAACUGACGCUGAGGAGCGAAAGCGUGGGGAGCGAACAGGAUUAGAUACCCUGGUAGUCCACGCCGUAAACGAUGAGUGCUAAGUGUUAGGGGGUUUCCGCCCCUUAGUGCUGCAGCUAACGCAUUAAGCACUCCGCCUGGGGAGUACGGUCGCAAGACUGAAACUCAAAGGAAUUGACGGGGGCCCGCACAAGCGGUGGAGCAUGUGGU
rnacentral:rRNA from 1 species